rnacentral:rRNA from 1 species
AUACAGAGGGUGCAAGCGUUAAUCGGAAUUACUGGGCGUAAAGCGCGCGUAGGUGGUUAUUUAAGUCGUAUGUGAAAGCCCCGAGCUCAACUUGGGAACAGCAUAUGUAACUGGGUAACUAGAGUACAGUAGAGGAGAGUAGAAUUUCAGGUGUAGCGGUGAAAUGCGUAGAGAUCUGAAGGAAUAUCAGUGGAGAAGGCGACUCUCUGGGCUGAUACUGACACUGAGGUGCGAAAGCGUGGGUAGCAAACAGGAUUAGAAACCCCAGUAGUCC